rnacentral:sRNA from 1 species
AAAAUAGUCCCAAAGACUAACUUCGCCACCUCCUGUGGCAAUGUCUUUGUAACCUACACUCAUGCCGG